GACAGAGGAUGCAAGCGUUAUCCGGAAUGAUUGGGCGUAAAGCGUCUGUAGGUGGCUUUUCAAGUCCGCCGUCAAAUCCCAGGGCUCAACCCUGGACAGGCGGUGGAAACUACCAAGCUGGAGUACGGUAGGGGCAGAGGGAAUUUCCGGUGUAGCGGUGAAAUGCGUAGAUAUCGAGAGGAACACCAGAGGUGAAGACGGGUUGCUGGGCUGACACUGACGCUGAGGCGCGAAAGCCAGGGGGAGCAAACAGG
rnacentral:rRNA from 1 species